GAAGCAGGCCAGACAGUCGCUGGCUGGCGCCGCAAGGCGCCGGCGGGAGGAAGGUCCGGACUCCACAGAGCGGGGUGACGGUUAACGGCCGUCCGCCGAAAGCCUUCCGGCGCAAGCCGGGGGUAUAAGGCGAGGAAUAGGGCCACAGAGACGAGCGUAUUAAGUUACGGUGAAACGCGGUAACCUCCACCUGGAGCAAUUCCAAAUAGGCACGCGUUGAUGUUGCUCGCGGAGCGUGCGGGUAGGAAGCUUGAGCGCCGGAGUAAUUCGGCGCCUAGAGGAAUGGCUGUCAUAGGGGCGUCCCGCAAGGGAGACCACUACACAGAAUCCGGCCUAUCGGCCUGCUUUGCAC
rnacentral:RNase_P_RNA from 1 species